AUACGGAGGGUGCAAACGUUGCUCGGAAUCAUUGGGCGUAAAGCGCGUGUAGGCGGCUAGUUAAGUUGAGUGUGAAAGCCCUAGGCUUAACCUAGGAAGUGCGCUCAAAACUGAUUGGCUAGAGUACGGGAGAGGGUAGUGGAAUUCCCGGUGUAGAGGUGAAAUUCGUAGAUAUCGGGAGGAACACCAGUGGCGAAGGCGGCUACCUGGACCGAUACUGACGCUGAGACGCGAAAGCGUGGGUAGCAAACAGGAUUAGAUACCCUGGUAGUCCACGCUGUAAACGAUGAGUGCUAGGUGUUGCGGGUUUUGACCCCUGCGGCGCCGGAGCUAACGCAUUAAGCACUCCGCCUGGGGAGUACGGCCGCAAGGCUAAA
rnacentral:rRNA from 1 species